ACUCCUAAUCGUUCUCCACCGCCACCACGGCAAAUCUGGGCACACUUUGUAACAGAAGUCUUUUUCACUCUUUACUCCUCUUCUUCCUUCUCUAUUUGCUCUAGCCGCCGCCUUCACUCCACUAUGCAGUAAAUCAUUGUCGACGUCCCUCAGGUCAACUGAUAUCACCAGAGUAUAGCUCUCUUCCUCAUCAAUCUAUUUUGCUUCUGUUGGUUUGUAUUUUAUGUAAAUUUUGGUUUGAAUGCAGUAAUGGAUACUUCAAAGAUCGGAGUUCAAAAGCUUGAUUUUGCUAGUGCAAUACUGUAAGUGUAACUUUAUUAUUUUUUUUGUUUGUUAAUUUUCCGCUUUAAAUGUUACCGUUUAAGACGGGCAGGGAAAAGCCCGGCUACCUGUUCUUCUCAGGCUGUCUUUCAACAUCCUCUAUUGAAUCUCAAGUACUAGGCUAUUUUAUCCAAAUGACACAAAAAUAAUAAUAAUUAAUUAUGUUAAUGACUUAAAAGUGAUUUAAAGUGAACACUAAAGUGGGGUUAAGGGUAAUAAAUGGUGACAUUAGAUAAAUUUUUGACACAACCAUCAAGCGGUAAAAAAAUUUAGGGUGUUAAAGACACUUAUGGCCAGCACUCUAUUACUAAAUAAAAAAAAAAACAAUAUUUUUGAGUGUUGCAACAUUAAUUGUCGGCACCUCAAUAUCAAAUUUAAAAAAAAAAAUAUUUUUUUGGUUGUUGGGACAAUAAUUUUCGACUUCCCAGUAGUAGAUUUUAAAAAAAAUAUUUUUUUCAGUUGUUAGGAUAUUGAUAGUCGGCACUCUUUCAAUAUAUAGAGUUAUUUUGUCUUUCAUUUAAGCUUUCUUUUUUCUUUAGUUGAAAAUGGAUAUUAAUAAUAUUAGUGUUUUGUUUGUUGAGG
rnacentral:lncRNA from 1 species